rfam:Rhodococcus sp. CTA-806 NODE_15_length_191920_cov_3.15363_ID_29, whole genome shotgun sequence.
CACACGUGAUGUGCUGGUGCAUACUGCACAGCGAACACAAGCACACCAGUCACAGGGGGAAGCCGGUCGAAAUCCGGCGCUGACCCGCAACGGUGGGUUGCCUCGUCGCGAGGCAGCGAGCCCGAUUACCCAGCGACUGCGUGAGCGGCAC